CAAUAGCGUAUAUUAAAGUUGUUGCGGUUAAAAAGCUCGUAGUUGGAUUUCUGCUGAGAACGACCGGUCCGCCCAUUGGGUGUGUAUCUGGCUCUUUCUUGGCAUCUUCUUGGUGAACGUUACUGCACUUGACUGUGUGGAGCGCUACCCAGGACUUUUACUUUGAGGAAAUUAGAGUGUUUCAAGCAGGCAUACGCCUUGAAUACGUUAGCAUGGAAUAAUAAGAUAGGACCUCGGUUCUAUUUUGUUGGUUUCUAGAGCUGAGGUAAUGAUUAAUAGGGAUAGUUGGGGGCAUUCGUAUUUAACUGUCAGAGGUGAAAUUCUUGGAUUUUUUAAAGACGAACAAUUGCGAAGGCAUCUACCCAGGAUGUUUUUGUUGA
rnacentral:rRNA from 1 species